UACGUAGGGUGCAAGCGUUGUCCGGAAUUAUUGGGCGUAAAGAGCUUGUAGGCGGUCUGUCGCGUCUGAUGUGAAAAUCCGGGGCUCAACCCCGGACUUGCAGUGGGUACGGGCAGACUAGAGUGUGGUAGGGGAGACUGGAAUUCCUGGUGUAGCGGUGAAAUGCGCAGAUAUCAGGAGGAACACCGAUGGCGAAGGCAGGUCUCUGGGCCACUACUGACGCUGAGAAGCGAAAGCAUGGGGAGCGAACAGG
rnacentral:rRNA from 1 species